GGCGUCGCACCCGUGGGGGAUGUGGGUGUUUUAACACCCACACUUUUCCCGGUGAGAGGGUUCAACACCCACACUUUUUAUGCAGUUUUUCAAGAACGCCUUAUUAAGUCGCUCCUCCGUUUCUCUGGCCGCUCUCUGUCUGCUGCGCUGCGCUGCUUCCUCUCCCCCUCCCCUCUCAAACAUGACGCCGGCUUUGAGUGUUACCGGCUGAUGAUUGGCUGUUCUGCCUUAAGUCCCGCCUCUCUUGGUGGGUUAGAUUGAUCGGUCAGCUCGCGCUGAGGAGGCGGGAACUUAUGUUUAUUUACAUCUCCCUUUUUCAGUAUCAAUAAGAUACAGAAAAGAAAGAGGCAGGAGAAGAUUGACACCUUUUUCAAGAGAAAUCCUGAGAUGAGGUUGCUGGAGGCAUCAGUUUAAAGAGAGAGAGAGACACAUAAAGUUUCACAGGUGUGCAAUGAAAAAUGAAUGUUACAGUUUGUGAAAGAGGUCUAUGAAGGAAGAGAGCGUGUGUUUGUGUCAUGGGUGGUGCUUAAUUCCAUCCCAGGUGCACAUACGCCUGUUUCUGGUGUGUUUAUAUCAAAUUUAAAAUGAUAUAUAUCCAUCCCCCACACUUUUAAAAAGCUUGC